GAUGAACGCUGGCGGCGUGCCUAAUACAUGCAAGUCGAGCGAACAGACGAGGAGCUUGCUCCUCUGACGUUAGCGGCGGACGGGUGAGUAACACGUGGAUAACCUACCUAUAAGACUGGGAUAACUUCGGGAAACCGGAUCUAAUACCGGAUAAUAUAUUGAACCGCAUGGUUCAAUAGUGAAAGACGGUUUUGCUGUCACUUAUAGAUGGAUCCGCGCCGCAUUAGCUAGUUGGUAAGGUAACGGCUUACCAAGGCAACGAUGCGUAGCCGACCUGAGAGGGUGAUCGGCCACACUGGAACUGAGACACGGUCCAGACUCCUACGGGAGGCAGCAGUAGGGAAUCUUCCGCAAUGGGCGAAAGCCUGACGGAGCAACGCCGCGUGAGUGAUGAAGGUCUUCGGAUCGUAAAGCUCUGUUAUUAGGGAAGAACAAAUGUGUAAGUAACUAUGCACGUCUUGACGGUACCUAAUCAGAAAGCCACGGCUAACUACGUG
rnacentral:rRNA from 1 species